rnacentral:rRNA from 1 species
AGCGAACGCUGGCGGCAGGCUCAACACAUGCAAGUCGAGCGGGCCCUUCGGGGUCAGCGGCGGACGGGUGAGUAACGCGUGGGAACGUGCCUUCUGGUCUGGAAUAACCCUGGGAAACUAGGGCUAAUACCGGAUACGCCCUUUUGGGGAAAGGUUUACUGCCGGAAGAUCGGCCCGCGUCUGAUUAGCUAGUUGGUGGGGUAACGGCCUACCAAGGCGACGAUCAGUAGCUGGUCUGAGAGGAUGAUCAGCCACACUGGGACUGAGACACGGCCCAGACUCCUACGGGAGGCAGCAGUGGGGAAUAUUGGACAAUGGGCGCAAGCCUGAUCCAGCCAUCGCCGCGUGAGUG